GCUCCAAUAGCGUAUAUUAAAGUUGUUGCAGUUAAAAAGCUCGUAGUCGGAUUUCGGGCCGAUCGCUCCGGUCUGCCGUUGGGUAUGCACUGGCUGGUUUCAACUUCCUGCGGAGGACGCGCUCUGGGCUUAACGGUCUGGACGUGGAGUCCGCGUGGUUACUUUGAAAAAAUUAGAGUGUUCAAAGCGGGCUUACGCUU
rnacentral:rRNA from 1 species